UACGGAGGGGACUAGCGUUGUUCGGAAUAUCUGGGCGUAAAAGCGCACGUAGGCGGAUUUGUAAGUCAGGGGUGAAAUCCCGGGGCUCAACCUCGGAACUGCCUUUGAUACUGCAAAUCUCGAGUCCGGAAGAGGUGAGUGGAAUUCCUAGUGUAGAGGUGAAAAUUCGUAGAUAUUAGGAAGAACACCAGUGGCGAAGGCGGCUCACUGGUCCGGUACUGACGCUGAGGUGCGAAAGCGUGGGGAGCAAACAGGG
rnacentral:rRNA from 1 species